rnacentral:rRNA from 1 species
UCCCUUGGAACAGGGUAUCAAAGAGGGUGACAAUCCCGUGCUUGAUGCGACGACCGGUGCUAUGUGAUAUGUUCUCAACGAGUCGAGUUGUUUGGGAAUGCAGCUCUAAACGGGUGGUAAAUUCCAUCUAAGGCUAAAUAUUGGCGAGAGACCGAUAGCGAACAAGUACCGUGAGGGAAAGAUGAAAAGCACUCUGGAAGGAGAGUUAAACAGUACGUGAAAUUGUUAAAAGGGAAACGAUUGAAGUCAGUCGUGCGGGCAGUAUUCAGCCGUCUCUGGCGGUGUAUUUGCUGUCCGCGGGUCAACAUCAGUUUGAAUCGGUGGAUAAAGGUUAGAGGAAGGUGGCACCCUCGGGUGUGUUAUAGCCUCUGAUCAUAUACACUGGUCCAGACUGAGGAACGCAGCUUGCUUAACAGCCGGGGUUCGCCCACGUCCAAGCUUAGGAUGUUGACAUAAUGGCUUUAAACGACCCGUCUUGAAACACGGA